GGGUAGCUUGCCAGGCUGGCUGCUACAUCUGUCACCUCAUUGAUUGCCAGGGUUGAUUCGGCUGAUCUGGUUGGCUAGGCAGGUGUCCCCUUCCUCCCUCACCGCUCCAUGUGCGUCCCUCCCGAAGCUGCGCGCUUGGUCGAAGAGGACGGCCUUCCCCGAAUAGGCACAGACCGGUCUUUGGUUGAGGGUAUACGAGUAGCUGCGCUCCCCUGCUAGAACCUCCAAACUAAGCUUACUAUUAUAUGAAAAUGGAGUCUUAGUCUUGUUU
rnacentral:snRNA from 1 species